ensembl:lncRNA
CUUCAAUCAGUACAGAUGAAGGGGAGGAGACCGGGUACCUCUUGAAUGGCUCCAUCGGCAACAUUUCAAGCUAGCUAUGGAGUGAGUUUACGGAGGAGGAGGGUCCAGAGGUGCUGCUGUUGAAGGAGGAGGGUUGUGAGGAGGGUCUGGGGAACCCUGAAGGGACCAUGGUCAUGGAGGACAACCACACUACACCUCGUCUGAACCCACAGAGUAACCAACUGAGCAGCACACAGACCACACAGUGUCACUGAGGUUUAGUCCACUGUCAACUACAUGAAUGGUAUUAGGUCAGAGCCAGUACAGUAUAGGCAGGUGGGGAUCCUAGAUCAGCGCUCUUACUCUGAGACUAUGGAUAAAGGCCCAGAUCAAACCCUUGAAUGAGUAGGUGUGUCCAAACUUUUGACUGGUACUGUGUAGUAUGAUGAGGCAGAGUAGAUGAUAUGGUUGAUGGGAUGGGGUCUGUAAAAAUGCUUCACUGAUGUAAAGUGACAACCCUGUCCUGUUGUUUGAUGCUGGUGUUUUAUGAGGAAAGUAUAGUGCUUUACUUCAUGUUUACUUGGCAUGAAGUAGUGAAGUUGUGUGUAACUUAAUGUUGAACCUUUUCCAAAGUAUUCUUACAUUCAUUUUAUCAAUUCGAG